GACGAACGCUGGCGGCGUGCCUAAUACAUGCAAGUCGAACGAAGCUGUUUUAACUGGUGCUUGCACCGACUUAAACAAUUGAGUGGCGAACGGGUGAGUAACACGUGGGUAACCUGCCCCAAAGCGGGGGAUAACAUUUGGAAACAGAUGCUAAUACCGCAUAACCACAGAAACCACAUGGUUUCUGUGUCAAAGAUGGUUUCGGCUAUCACUUUGAGAUGGACCCGCGGCGUAUUAGCUAGUUGGUAAGGUAAUGGCUUACCAAGGCAAUGAUGCGUAGCCGAACUGAGAGGUUGAUCGGCCACAUUGGGACUGAGACACGGCCCAAACUCCUACGGGAGGCAGCAGUAGGGAAUCUUCCACAAUGGACGAAAGUCUGAUGGAGCAACGCCGCGUGAGUGAAGAAGGUUUUCGGAUCGUAAAACUCUGUUGUCAGAGAAGAACGUGUGCGAGAGUAACUGUUCGUGCAGUGACGGUAUCUGGCCAGAAAGCCACGGCUAACUACGUGCCAGCCGCCGCAGUAA
rnacentral:rRNA from 1 species